UUCUUAUCGAGAGUGGUGGAGGGACUGGCCCUGUGAUACCCGGCAGCCGCUGACUUAGUCAGAAUGGUGCUAAAUCCAGCAAAGCGCAAUGCUUUGGCAGAUAAGAU
rnacentral:ncRNA from 17 species